GUAACUCCCGAGGUAUGACUUUAGAGUUCACUUCACGCUAAACCACUACGUGAGGGGGAACUCAGCCAACGCCAAGGAACGACUGUGUUUUCUAAAUAAAAACAUGAUUUAUGCAUACAUAACUUUUAAUAGCCUUGGCAGACUCGGUUUGGGAUAGCCCUCGGCCAAGGUAUCCCUGAUAACUGAGUAUGAUAAUGAUUUUGGCAUGAGACAAAGUUUUUAAGAAAGUUAUAAGCCAUGUUGAUUACUCGAUUUAUAUGAAUUGAUUUUAUUUGAUUAAAACAAACUGAAAGGUGAUGAAUUACAGUAUGUUAAACUAUUUUAUCUGUCUCCAUUUACUCGACUUUAGAUAUUUUAGAUGGUAUUUGUUUACUCACUGGGAUUAUAUAAUCUCACCACCCUCAUUUCCACCCAUUUCAAGUUCAGUAUAGGCUGUAGAUAGCUGAUAUAGUCAAAGGCUACAGUCGACUUUACUACUACAAAAACUGUAGGNUUGAAAGGUGAUGAAUUUUAGUAUGCCAAAUUAUUUUAUCUGUCUCCAUUUACUCGAUUUUAGAUGGUUUAGAUGGUAUCUGUUUACUCACUGGGAUUUUAUAAUCUCACCACCUUCCUUUUUAACCAUUUCAGGCUCGAGGUAGCUUGUGGAUAGCAUAUAUCAUUAGGGAUUAUAGUCGGCUUUACUACUCCAAAAACUGUAGAUUUGCUGCCUUUGUGCACUUUUUCUCCUUGUGGGCCCACGAGUCACUGUACAGUAAAUUUCAUAUCUCGGUUAUCUGUAUUAUAGUACGUAUGAAUUUAUUUAGCUUUUACAUUACAAAAAUUAUUUACCGAUGAUU
rnacentral:lncRNA from 1 species